rnacentral:miRNA from 1 species
UUUUUUGUGCCUUUUUCCGUUUUUUUUUUUUUUUUUUUCUUUUCAAAAAAGGAAAAAGACGAGUGAAAAGGGAGCAUCAUAGAC